rnacentral:rRNA from 1 species
CCCUAAGAUACUCUGGGCCGCACGCGGGUUACAAUGACGAUGUCAACGAGUGAGAAUUAAGGGGCUGCAUGGGCAACCGUGUGGUUCUUCGUCCUGGUUCGAAAGAAUUGGGUAAUCUUGGGAAACGUCGUCAUAUCUGGGAUUGAAGAUUGUAAUUUCUUCAUGAACGAGGAAUGCCUUGUAGACGCAGUUCAACAGACUGCAUCGAAUAUGUCCCUGCCCUUUGUACACACCGCCCGUCGCUCCUACCGAUUGAAAGCAUAGAUGAAUUUCAGGGAGAAAAUAGGUUGAUGUGAUGGUUUGGUCUUUCGGGGCUGGAUGAUUGCACUAUUUCAAACUGAUGUGAAUCUCUUCUUUUAGAGGAAGGAGAAGUCGUAACA